ensembl:lncRNA
GGGAGAUCCAGAGAACCCCACAGGCCUUCCAGGGCUGGCUGCCGUGUGUCCAGGAAUGUCCAAGCAGUGGGUCAUCUGCAGAGAUCUGAGCAACGAUGGGAUCCAGGCAAGGCUCCAGGGGACCUCUGGGAGCAGGGCCGGCCUCCGUGGGCUCAUUCAGCCUUGCUCCAUAUCUAAAGUGCCUUGUUGACUCUAAGGUGUCCUGUGUGAAGGGAGUGAUUGUGGAAUGGCACCGUCUGCACACUCACCAAUAACCACUUACCGGAUUCUCUGAACGUUGCCCCGCCACUCCCCACUCAGGAAAUUAGGCACGAAGGAGCUUCUUGUUCCAAAGUCCUGAUUUCGCUGGACACUCACUAGGAAGAUGCCACCCCAUCCUGGUCAGUCACCAUGGCUUGUGGGCCAGUAUGAAACAAACGUCUUCCCACUUUUCCGACAAACCAUUCUGCAGCCAUCUUCCACUUGUCCGCUAGAGGGCACCUGCGCUCCACUUCCGAACUAACCUAAACUCCCAAUGGACAUGAUCUUUGGAGCUGAACCCUGGACCGGAAGUUACCUCAGAGCUUCCCUGCAGAGAGGUGGAGAGAGCCAGAGACAGAAAAGAGAUUCAGAGAGGAGAGAAAAAAGAUUGAGAGAAAGAGGAGAGCGGAGAGACACCCACAAACUAACAGAGACAGAGACAGAGAAAGAAAGGGACACACAGAGAGAAUCGAUUGAGAGGAAUCCCCAAAGAGACAGAAAUCCAUCCUGCUUUGAAAGUUGGAUCCAAGCCAUUUCUCCCAAGUUCCACAGAAAAAUAAAACAUAGUUCUAAAGCCCAAGGGAAAGUUUCCUUAACACUUUGGAUUCUCCAGUCACAUAACUUUUGGUGCACUUGGAAGAAUCUUUCCCUAAAGUCAUCCAACUUCCCUUCAAUCACAUACGAGGAUUCCAAAGGUGAACUCAAGAGAUGCUUCCCUGAAUGGAACCAAAUCUCAGGUUUCUCCCUUUAUUCAGUGGAAUCGUGAGCCCAAUCACUCCGGGGAGAAGUCUUGCCUGGACUGCCUGAGCAUCUCAGAAACUGGUGAGGCCGAUAAAAAUGGCUCUGAAAGACUUCAGGGCCGGACAUUGUUUUCUAUUUGAUACUUAAAGACAAAUAAGACUUCUUAUUCAGGUGGGAACAAGGCCUUGAGAAUAAUUAUUGUCUGCAAUAUUAGCCAAUGAACAGAUAGUUAGUAGAUAACUCCCAUGUUCCAGGAGUGUGCCAGUGUCCGAAACACAGAUGUGAAGAAUGAAAGGAUCUCUGCUCACAAUAAGCCUACACAGUUAAAGAGGGAAUUGGAGCUUUAAGGUAUUUCCAAGUAGCUACCGAGGUACAUGUUGUCUUCCCCAUUAAAAUAGAAGUUCCUGGAGAGCUGAGGCCAUUUUUGCCUUUCUUUGUGUACCAGCUCUUGGCACAGAGCCUGGCACAUGGGAAAUGCUUAGAUGAUGAUUUCCGACUGACUUCCCUAGAGCUGAAAUGAGAAUCUCUUGGAAUGAUCGGAUCACUCCUUAUCUUCCCCUUUUAUUAGCCAUGCCCAGGACCUCUCCACUCCUGCCUGGGGGAUUCAAAGGCAGCUCUGCUCUCGUACCUUACUCGGAGACAAAAAUGAACUUCUGCUCUGGGUUCAGUUCUGCCAUCAUUUAUCAAAUUCCUGCUUAUGCCAAUCCCAGAGCUCAGCAUUAGAGAGUCAAAGACAUGCCCUCAAGGAGGUUACAUUCUCCUGGGGGGACACAAUGUCCAAGGUAUUUAUGUACAUACAAUGUCUAUGUUGACCUUCAUGUGCUCAUUCCCUGUUUGGUCUUACCAUUCUAUAUUUGGUUGAGAAAAUUAAUAAGGAGUAAUUAGGUGGCCCAAAGGAUAGAGAGCCAGGACUAGAGAUGGGGGGUCCUGGGUUCAAAACUGGCCUUAGAUAUUUCCUAGUGUGACCCUGGGCAAGUCACUUAUCCCCAGUCACUUAGCUUUUACCAUUCUUCUGCCUUAGAACCAAUACUUAGAUUUGAUUCUAAGAUAGAAGGUGAGGGUUUAAAAAAUAGCAUUUAUGUUGUGCUUUAAAGUUUCCAAAAAGACUUUACAAAUACAGAAGAUCCCACUUAAAAUGUCACCAAGACUUUUGGGACACCCCUAUUAAAAUUUUUUUUUAUUGAUCAAUUAAUUUAGAACAUUUUUCUAUGGUUAUAUGAUUCAUGUUCUUUCCCUCCCCUCUUCCCUUACCUCCUCUCUGAGCUAAUCAGCAAUUCCACUGGGUUUUACAUGUGUCAUUGUUCAAAACCUAGUUUCAUAUCAUUAAUAUUUACAGUAGAAUGAUCAUUUAAAGUCAACAUCCCCAUUCAUAUACCUGUUGAACCAUGUGUUCAAUCAUAUGUUUUUCUUUUGCGUUUCUACUCCCACGGUUCUUUCUCUGGAUGUGGAUAGUGUUCUUUCUCAUAAAUUCCUUGGGAUAUAUGCCCCUAUUAUCUCAUUUUAUUUUUACAACAACCCUGUGAUAGGAGCUAUGAUUAUUCUCAUUUUACAGAUGAAACAAAGUGCAGAAAGGUAACUUGAGGCACAGAAGGUUUGUUCCCCAGGAUCCCACAGCUGGUAAGUGGCUGAGGCCAGAUUUAAACUCCAGGCGUUCUGACUCCAGGCCCAGCAAUCUCUCCACUGCUCCACCUACCUACCACUCACUUUAUAAAUACAAAAUAUGCUCAAAGCAAAUACAAAAAAUUAUGGAGUUUGGAGGAAAAAGAGGAUCAGGAGAGGCCUUUUGAAGGAAGUGACUCCAUCUGAGUCCUAUAGGGAGCUGGGAAUUUCAAGAACUAAAAGAUGCAAUGAAAGAGAUGAACAGUAAGAGUAUGUGAGGGGAGAAAAUGAAAUAUCUUAUAAGAGAGGUGGGAGCCAAAUAGUGUAUGGCUUUAAGGAUUAAGCAAAGGAACUUGUAUUUUAUCCUGGGGCAGUAAGGAAACUUCUGGAGUACAGAAGUGACAUUGAUCAGGUUUGUGCUUCAGAAAUUCCAAUAUGGCAUUUGUGGGAUGAACAGGUCAGAGAAGGGAGAAUUAGAACUAUGGGAAAGCAUUUGGGACCAAGACAGUUUGUUCAGAUGGAUAUUUUACUUCAGUACCAAAGUCCAACACUCUUUAUUUCAAUGAAAAAAGCUUAUAUUCUCUGAGACGGGAAUUUGGCCCUCAUGGUGGAGAGAAAUAAGAAGGGAGGCAGAGAUCUGAAUUUUAUCCUUUAUAUGUUGUCCACAGUAGCAGGCACUAAAUCAUGUUUGUUUGUUUGUUUGUUUUUCCCACUGAGGAAGGAAAGCAAUAGAGCAGCCUUGUAUGUGAGUUCUUAUUUUGUACUUUAAAUGUCCCCCUUGUUUCCUCUCCCCACCACCCAAGGUUUUCUUUGUCUUCUUCAAAACUCUUACCUUCUUUCUGUCUUUGACCUGAUAGUAUCAGUUUAGUAACAACUAGGCAAUUGGAGUUGUGACUUGCUCAGGGUUAUGAUAGCUAGGAAAUGUCUGAGGCCAGAGUUGAAUCCAGAAUCUCCUUCUCCAUGUCUGGCUCUCUAUCCACUGAGCCAUCUAGCUGCUCCACUCCCUUUCAAGGUUUUCUUGAUGCCUUUUGCUUAGCAUCAGUCUCAUUGUUAUCCCUUCUUCUAAUUUUAUGUUUAUCUUGACCUUCUUUUGACAAGUCAAUAGUCUGGCUAUACCCAAAUGGCUAAAAGAAGAAAUGACUCACACCAAUAACCGGUUAGUUGUUUCUGAUCUGAUCUGAAUCAGUUCCACUAAUAUCUCUCUCCCAGGCUCUUCAUCAGCAUUUGUGCCGAAGUUGUGCUGGGUUCUCCAAAGCAUUUCCAGCAGAGCCAGAAGGAUUUUGAGUGAAGGCUCCACCCCUGGAUUGCAUGUGUGUUGUGUGAACAUCCUCCUAGUUCAGUUCUGAGAGUCUCAUUAUCAGCUUGUUAGCAGGAUGCUGAAUUUCUCUACUAACAGGGCAUUUGUAAUCUGAGCCAGCAGAGGGCAAACCACCCUGAUGCAAUCAAAGAAUCUUGAGGGAUGGAGGCAGAAUUGAGGCUCUUUUAUUGUGGGGGAUGUUGGGAUGCUCAUGGUCAUGGCAUACAGAUGGACCUGAGGAUGCAAGAGUUCACAGCCCUUUGGGUCCUUUCACCUCGUAAUCCUGAAACUUUGCAGCCUAAUUUUUUGGUCAUCCUACUUAUACCAACCCUGGCUUUGAAGUCACUGAGGAUCAAGCUAUAUAGUGACUUAGCUUGGAAGAUCUUGACAAAUUCUUCAUUGAAGUUCUCCACUUUAUCCAACAAAUCAAUCAAUUAAUAAGCAUUUAUUAAGUCCCUACAUGCAUCUGGGGCACUGUCCUGGGCACUGGGAGUUCUCAUUUCACAAAAAUGAAACAGUUCCUCAUCUUAGGGACCUUUGCACUCUUGGGGGUGUGUAAUUAGAAUCAGUACCUGUGGAUGCGGAGUUUUUGAGCAGGUAGAAAAACUUGGUCACGUGGUUGUAUUUUGUCAGAUAAUAAACUUUAUAAAAAUACUCGAAA